rnacentral:rRNA from 1 species
GAGCGAUUGAAAGGGUGUUGUGAUUGAGGUGGUGAGAGAUCCGGUAGAGAUCGACUUUGCUAAGUUGAAAGGGUGAAAUUUAAUAGUCGUCGGGAGGGUUGGUAUCGUAAGGAGGUUCUGAUUCUUUAAAGUUCAAGACAUAAAAUAGGAUUAGAUACCCUACUAUACUUGAUUGAAAUAAUUGAGAUCUUUGAGUAGUAAACAGAUAUAGGCUUGAAACUCAAAGGAUUUGGCGGUAUCUAAGUCUAGUUAGAGGAACUUGUGCAAUAAACGAUAGUCCGCGAGCAUCUAGCCUUGUCUUGUAGUCGUCAGUCUGUAUACCGCCAUUAUUAGGUAGUCCUUGUAGGGAGUUACUGAAAUUAAAGGAGUUUAAGUAUAUUAGGUCAAGGUGCAGCUUAUGAUAAGGGUGACGUGAGUUACAUUGAGAUAAAAGCAGACGGAUGGACUGUGGGAGAUAUAGCAGUCUUGAAGGUGGAUUUAAUUGUAAGGGGUGUAAACCGCGCGUGCCUGAUAGGGGCUCUUAGAUAUGUACACAUCGCCCGUCGUUCUCACUCU